AGUGAACGCUGGCGGUAGGCCUAACACAUGCAAGUCGAACGGCAGCACAGUAAGAGCUUGCUCUUACGGGUGGCGAGUGGCGGACGGGUGAGGAAUACAUCGGAAUCUACUUUUUCGUGGGGGAUAACGUAGGGAAACUUACGCUAAUACCGCAUACGACCUACGGGUGAAAGCAGGGGAUCUUCGGACCUUGCGCGAUUGAAUGAGCCGAUGUCGGAUUAGCUAGUUGGCGGGGUAGAGGCCCACCAAGGCGACGAUCCGUAGCUGGUCUGAGAGGAUGAUCAGCCACACUGGAACUGAGACGCGGUCCAGACUCCUACGGGAGGCAGCAGUGGGGAAUAUUGGACAAUGGGCGCAAGCCUGAUCCAGCCAUACCGCGUGGGUGAAGAAGGCCUUCGGGUUGUAAAGCCCUUUUGUUGGGAAAGAAAAGCAGCAGGUUAAUACCCCGCUGUUCUGACGGUACCCAAAGAAUAAGCACCGGCUAACUUCGUG
rnacentral:rRNA from 1 species